GAAUGAUUGAUUCUAAUGCUAAGAUCUCUCAGUGUGCUUCAGCAUUUCGCUCUGUCAAGUAUUGGUAAUCGUAGUGCAACGCAUUAUCUAGCAAUAGAGAGAAGCCAGCAUCACUUAGAUUACCGAUGUAUAAGGACCAGGAGAAACAAAGCAAAAUAAAACAGAAACACAACAAUGGAGCUUCCUUCACACUGAUAAAAUGAAGCUGAUGUGCCUGGUUUUCUUGGGGCUCAUUAUUGACGCAUCAGGGUUACAGACGGCAGAAUGUAAAGACAUCCGACCAAAGUGUGAGGAGAAGAACAUGACGCAUGUUCACUGUCUGGUGAAGCGGGACGUUAAUCAAACCAUACACAAUGAAGUCAGUGGAGUUCUUGGCAUGCAAGAGCAGGCUGAGAGCUUACAGAAGUGUGGAAGUGAUUGGUGGCCAUACUCACAAAUUGUGUGCAUUAUAGAAGGAACAAAGUGUUUUAACGAGCACAUUAUAGAGAAGACUCAUUCUCAGUCCCACAAGUUAAAAGAGAUAAAGGUUUGUACCGUCUUUCAGCAUUUCAUUAAACUCGAUCUGUUGUGUAUGCAGUCGGAGCAUCCAGAGCAAAAUGAACACUUUUCUGAGAUGCUUCAGAAGUUUAACAUCUCUUAUCCAUCUUCGGGAGUUUCAGAUGCAUAUUUAGUGUCUGGUCAUGUCCAUCAAAGUAAGGAUACUGAAAAAAGAAUAAACCUUACAUUGUUGCUUUCAGUUGGAUUAGUAUUGACAUUCGUUAUUAUUGUAGUACAAUCGGUCAUUAUUUGCUAUCUUUGUCAUAGAGGGCGAAAAAUUUAUCAAACUGUUGUACCUUCUGAAAGCCUUCCACAUUAGAACUGAUUGUUGGAUUCUAAGCUUUACAAGUCAGCUUAUUCCUGAUGAACAAUCGAGAAACAGGAAAAUUGUGUCGCAUUCCAAGGUUUUCACAACAUUGGAGAAGUACUUUUCAAAAGUCCAAAUAUGAUUAGAAGUUAUACGUAAAAGAAUUAAACACCGAAUUGGUUAUUUCUUCUUACUAUCUACUGGUACCGGUUCUUCUCAUUUAUUUUUACUCCAGUUAAUAAACUUUUAAAUCAGUGCUGUCAGGUAGUAAGUUGAAUAAAUGUAUUUGUAUGGUGUAAUGUAUUUUGAAAACUAAAUUCAAAUUAUUCAUAAACUGUAGUAUAUGCAUUAUUUGAAAACUAAAUUCAAAUUAUUCAUAAACUGUAGUAUAUACAUAUGUAUAGUAAUGCAUAAUUUAUUGGGGAGUUAUUAAUGUUAAACCCAAAAGAAUACUGAUGCUAUGCUUAAGGGUAUUGUUUUUCUGCAUCAUGGUGCAAGUAUGACUUAAGAAGAGAGGAGAGUGGUAAAUUUAAGCAGCUUGUAUUUUGGAGACUCCAAAGAUUCUAUAUUGAUAAUUCACAAUAAAUCGAUGCUUUGGAUAAGUUCUUAUGUUAUGUAUGGUACUAGAAUGACGCACACUGAAUUUAAGCAACCUGCAUUGUUUACAUAAACUGAUCAUUUGAGGAAAAUAACAUGUGGUUAGUGCUCACAAUAAAAUACUGAACCAAAUCAGAUUUGAAAAUUUUACACAGCUUGAAAAGGAAAGAUUAAUCAUUAAGAUUUUGCAGCAAAACUCCCAUUUUAAUUAGUGUUACUUACCCAGUAAUUAUAUAGCUGUAGUUUCUACCUCGACAGCAGCUUGAAUUUCUAAAAUCGCAGUUAUACUUCCUCCGCUGGCCGGUAGGUGAAUAGGCUCCACCCACUUUUUGGGGGUUAGAGGAAUAACUACAAGAAAAUACGUCCCUCAAUUUGUUUCUGCCAUCCUAAUACCAACACGGUUUGCUCCGUGUCACCUAACUUUCUCGCUAAGAACAAGAAUCCUUCUAAUCCUUGGCCACACUCUUUUGUUCUCAAGAACUUGAUGGAUAUACUAGGCCAGGAGGAAGAAGAAAGACUUUUUAUGUCCUGUGGGGGCACUAAGAUGUUACCUCCGCAGAAAGGAGAAAAUAAGAAGACAUUCUUCCUGUUUGUGGUGCUCUGUUAAAAAUCCCUCUCAUCCACUUUCAAAAAAUGCAAUCUCCUUCUCAAGCUAACGAUGUGGAUUUCCCUUAAUGAGAGUCAAAGCGCACAAAAUCCAAGUGGUAGAGACUUCCCUUGCGUUCCGUCACAACUUGUCACUUUCCACUACCCUUGUAAAUACCCUUUGUAGGUCCAAAUAAGUUUUUGUUGUACAUUACUUAAAAUAAAUUGAAACAGUUUUUGAUGACUGUAAUUCUCUCGGUCCUCGUUUGGUAGCUGGCAUGGUGUUAGGAGAAACGACAUGGGGGUUGGUCCCUCUGUUUUAUUCGCCUUGUAUCAAGGUUGGUGAGUCAAGUGAAGUCUGGGGGUACGAUGUACCUGGAGUACUCACCAGUUCAUGGUUUCUAAGUGUGGUGGGUAAAUGUUUUCAUUUAGUGUAGGCGACAGAUUUUAGUUCGCUGUUUUCUUAUAUGUUAUUUCUGGUCUUUGCCCAGUGAACUGAGUCAGCGGUGAACUGCCAUGACUACAAAGGUAUCCCACUUCAUGUACAGCCACUCACUGGCCAUACACCCAAGCCUUCUACUACAUAAGAUGAGCACCAACCAGAGGCAGUAUUCUCCUGCAGUAGCUCUCUUACAAGGUAAGGCACAACAAGCACUAACAGCACUAACUUUUGUCUUUUUUUUAAGAAUCCUGUUAUAUUUUUUAAUUAAGCAUACAUCCACAGCCCCCCAUCCUUGCAAUGAGUAAUCAGCUGUAUAAUUAUUUGGUAGACACUGCAAUAAAAAUGUAAUUUUUAUUAUAAAAUGACAUUUUAUUGCAUACUUACCAAACAAUUACAUAUUGAUUAAAACCCUCCCUCCUCCCCACAGGUGGUUGGUUGGGCAGAACGAAUUGAUUACACCUGGUCUGUUGUACCUGUUCCUCCCUUGAGUUAGGGGGAGAUUCUUUCACCCACGUUAGCGAUGGCAGCACCACCGCGAAGUUUGAAUUUUGGUCUGCCGCAUAGGAACCUACACUUGUAUGAUUGUUUGGUAAGUAUGCAAUCAAAUUUCAUUAUAAAAAUUACAUUUUUAUCAUACGAUAUCAAUUAAUCUUAGUUAAUCUUGCAGUAUUAAUAUUAAUAUUUGAAAAUUAGUAAAAAAUUUUUGUAUCAUAAGAAUGUAUUUAGUCAUGAAAAUAACAUCAAAAUACACUAAUUAAUGAAUAUUUAUCACCAGAAGAACCUGUGAUUAGGCAAAUUUCCUGUGAAUAAUGGGUAGAUAUGGUCCAAAGAAAAGUCCUUGAAUAGGUGAGAACACGAAUACGGAGGUUGACAGUAAGCAAAUGUAAGCGUUUUUGUGGGGUUCUACAUAUUCGUGGAUUCUAGUUUUGGGUGGGGGAGUCUGGAAUGCAUCCCUGCGAGUAUGAGGAAUCCACUGUACCCUCACAGGACCAAGAAGAUCAGGGGACCAAUGAGCAACUUAUGGUGCUCAGUCAAGAAUCCUUCAAGGCCUUUAUCGAAUAUUGUUUUUCUAACUUGAAGCUGAAGGCUCAUGAGGUGAGAGCAGUGGCAACCUCAUUAGCCUUCAAACAUAAGCUGUCUCUGGUCUCUAUCUUGCAAACAACUUAAUGGAGAUGUAAGUCUAUUUUUGCAAUGCAUUAUCUUAAAGAGAUCUUAACUACUUAUGAUGAUUGUGGAACUCUGGGACACUUGUUUUGGCUGGAUCACAAGCUUAAAAAACAAGUGGCAAAUCAUCGCCCCCCCCCCACAUUAACCUAAUCAUUCCAGCUGCCAAACUCACCCUCAGUCACACUUUCCUCUUUACACUACAGAAUACAAGCAGGACAAUUGACCUACACCUACACAUAGAAAAAAAACAAACACAUGUACUUACCAACCACUCCAGAUACACCGGGCUAUGCUGUGCUGUCCGCUGGUCAAGGUCACUGAGACACCAACAACAACAACAACCAAGAAGCACAACACCACAACCCAACAAGACAACUGCCAAGGACCCCAACCCCACAAAUCAACAGCACAACACCCAAGGAACACAACCACAACUCAACACCACAGCAAACAACAAGGAACUCAACAACACAACAACAAACAAAGAACACAACCACAACAAAAGACCACUGCACAAACAAUCACUAAAAAAAACUCACAAAAAGGCAACACAUACACCCACUAACAACACCAAGGAAUCACAAAAACAACACAAAAAAGCAACACACACACCCACUAACAUUACCAACAACAACCCUCAACCAUAACAACUCGCAUAUAAUCCAACAGAAACUCACAUGCAACUCAACAAAACCUCAUAGCACAACAACUCUUAAGCAACCAACAUCAAACCCAACAACAAUCUGCAACAAACCAAUAACACACUACUUGAAUAACUUCAAUGCCCUCAACACUUUCCACAGACCGCUGCCAACACUACUGUCUAUCACCAGCUCUCACCAAAGACUGACCAAAAGACUGACUAAAAACACAGAACUCUAAACUCCAACAUCACCAGCAGACAACCCAGAACUCACCAACAGCCAAUUCAGCCAUUAACCAUCCAAUCACCAACUACCCUCUCUCUCUCUCUCUCUCUCACACAGAUGUCAAAUGGAACUCCAUAACUCCUCCAUAUUGUCAGUAGCAGGUACAAUUGUAGGGGAGGAAGUGUGAAGACAUAUGAUCAACCAAAGCAUACCCUAGAAACUUUGUUUUAUAUUGGCAUGCUUUACUUUUUAUUUUAUUUAAGGCAAUGAAAAUUUAUUUGGUAAAUAGGCAUUAUAUUUGGAUAUUAAUGUAAUUAUGCUUAGCCUCGCGCAGGGCUAGGUUUUUAACCUUUGUUAUUUGGUUGUGUUGUUUGUGGUUUAAUUGGUAGCAACCUCCUCAGCUGGGAAGUUUCUGUGUUGGUCAAGGUGUCUCACAGCUACACCAGUGCACCACUAUGCGUUGAGAAGAGCCCUCAUUAGAGGCAGUACCUCCUUGAAGCGGCUCUCUCCCCAGGUAAGGAACAAUUGAAGUUUAGUGAGGCUCUCAUGAAAAUAGGUAUUUUAUAUUUAUAUUUUUAGGAAGUUUAUGAAUCCCCACCACCUAUCAAUGUGGGAUUCAGCUAUAUAAUUAUGUACUGAGUAAGUUGCACUAAUAAAAAUUAUAUUUUUAUAAUAAAAUAAAGUUUUAUUAGUACUUACCCAGUAAUUAUGAAUAGAGCCCACCCUCCUCCCCUCACAUGGACAGUUUUUCUUUACUAGAGGGGAAACAAAUUGAGGUAUUUUCAUGUAGUUACUCUUCCCCCCAGAAAGUGGGGGAGUGUAUUCACCUAACUGCCAGCAGAGUAAGUAUAACAGCGAUUUUGGAAAUUCAAACUGCUGUCGAAGUAGAAACUACAGCUAUAUAUUUACUGGGUAUGUACUAAUAAACUUUAUUUUAUUAUAAAAAUGUCAUUUUUUCCCAAGUGAUAAGAUUAUUUAAGUAAAUGUUACAUACUUGGAUUUGAAUAUUGUCAUGUCCAAUUUCAAGGGAGUUCAUGAUCAUGAAUCUGUAAUAUCUUUAACUGAUUCUCAUCAGUGUUCAUUUUUAGCUUUAGUUUAGUGUCUCCAUGUCACGAAAUAACAUUCCACUUGUUUAAUUAAGUGUUUCGAUUUUUGUAAUGAAUGGAAAAUUGCAUUGCUUAAAUUCAAAUUCAAGCUAGUCUGGAAAGUAACAUUUUGGUCUAGUUUGAAGUUCUUAAGAAAUCAUUAUUUAUAUGCAGAACAAACCUUGGUCCAAACUUUAGGAUAAAUCUUGUAGUGCCAGCUGGAAACCGAAAUUAGGCUCUCUCCAACUUCACUGAAAGACGGUACUUCUCCACUAGUGGACGAUAGACAAAUCAGUAAACCUCUCAGCCAGGUAUAUCCCAGGCAAGAGGAAUUUGAUGGCUCACAAAGUGAGUCGUCAGGGUCUUGGGACAGAGUGGUCCUUACAUGAUUUUUGUCUUCCUUUAACCUGUUAUUCUUAGGUAGACUAUUGUUGCAACACUUAUUACUUUAGCCAUUGUACUUGCUUAAUAUGCACCCUAGUAUUUAAAAAACUUUGCAAGAGAUUGAAUCAUGUUGUUUUCACUCAUGCAUUUACACUGUACGACAUGAUGACACUUAAGUGGCAUAAGUGAGAUUGAUGGUCUUACUUGAAUCUGGUAAACUUAUUUAUGUGGAGAUAGCAGAAGGCUUUUCCAUCUUUGGGAAAGACCAAAUGAUAGAUCUGUUUGCAACAAAGUUCAACCGAAAGGUGGAGGUCUUCUGUUCAGUUAUCCCAGGCUCCUGCUAUGGCAGAGGACACCCUUCAACAUCCCUGGGACAGUCGAAGUUUAUGCUUUCCCUCCCUUUUGCCCGAUUCAUCAAGUUUGGAAUGUUGUAAUGUCUUCUUGGAAUCUCAGAAUGUCCCUUGUAGCUCCAUGGUUGCCUCAUGCAGAAUGGUAUCCUAAUCUGCAAACCCUUCAGUAUGUUUUUUACCAGUUUCCAGUUGGCACUAGAAGAUUUAUCCUAAAAUUGAGACUGAAGGUGUUAGCUAUGAAAAUUACAAAUUAAUAAAAAAAAUUGUCAUUUUUUCAAACCUGUUAUAUUUCAAACCUACCUAGAGAAAAACCUUAUUCAUAGAAACUUUUUUUUUAAGACAAUUCAUGCUGUGUGAUACCCGUGGACUUGAAUAAUCUGAAUAAAUGAGAUCUUUUGUACAUAAAAAAAAGUAUUUAUGUGCCUGAUGUCUAUGCUAUCAUUAGAUAAUGUUUGUCUUUCUUUAACCUUUUAUUCAUAGGUAGUCUAUUGUUCCAAUACUUUGUACCUUAGCCAUUGUACUUGCUUAAUAUGCAUCCUAGUAUUUAAAAAACUGUGCAAGGAUUGAAUCAUGUUGUUUCCACUCAUGCAUUUACACUGUACGACAUGAUGACAUUGAAGUGGCAUGAGUGAUAUUGGUGGUCUCACUUGAAUCUGGUAAACUUAUUCAUGUGGUGUUUUUGUGAUCAGAUCACAGUUUCUAUCAAUUAGAUUACUUUUAUGUGAUUCAUUCCAGUUGAUCAUUUAAUUUAUAUUCAGCAUUUGUAUGGAUGCUUGACUACAUAAUACGAUAUUUCAACCACUGCCUUUUUCUAAACACCACAUGGUGAUCAGUUUACUGGUGAGCCAUCAUUACUGUUGACGACAGUUGAUAAGUGGUCACUAGUGUGCUAAAAUGCUGAUCAAUUCAAAUUAAAUUUAGUCAUAUUCAGAACUAAUUGCAAUAUUUCUAAUGACAUGCAAAUCAUGGUUCCUUUGUGUUAUCUUCAUUUCCUUCUACAGAUGCUAUCAGAUUGCCUUUAGCAUUUGCUAAAAUGGCUCCCAAUGUAGCGUGUGUACUGUUAAAGAGCCGGCUAAUUUAGCUUUUUGAAAAUCAGUAAGGCUCAGUUUUUGGUAUCCAAUUACUGACCAAUUCCUUUGAUAACUUGCCCAUACAAAAUAAUGGAAAAGAUGGUCAAUAUAGGACUUGCUUGACAGUGGAUGGUCUAUCCACCUCUUUUGCAGCAUCUUGGAUAGUGAAAGUUGAGCAUAAAAAUUAUCAUGUCAUUGACCAAAUUGUAAAGUUAGCAGGUAUGAAUGUGUUCUAUUUCUCAUGUAGUAAAACUUAAGUUUUUCAUUCUUGUUGUCUUCAUGAGGUACAUUGGUUCAGAUAUAUAUACCUGAAGUGACAAAUUCUUUCAAGGUGUAGAGGUCCUCUCUCUGGAAAUAAAUUUUGAUCCCAGUUUAUUGGGCCCUCAUCUAAGUAGGUGAAAGCCAAAUGUUUGGUGGCCAUGAAUAUUUUCAAGGCUUUAUCUCAAUCAUCAGUUAAUCAAACUCUGCUGAAAUUAUUCAAAGCCUUGCAGGAGAGAGACACUCUGGGUCUUGAAAUGAGCAAAUUUUCCCCUUGAAAAGCAAUGGGAAUUGGAUUAAACCAUUCCAAACCUCCAAGAAUACAGUGAAUAAAAGCAUUUUAACUCCUAAUUUAAUAAAUGUAGC